UUAAGUGACUAAGCGUACACGGUGGAUGCCUUGGCAGUCAGAGGCGAUGAAAGACGUAGUAACUUGCGAUAAGCCCAGAUUAGGUAGUAACAACCAUUUGAGUCUGGGAUUUCUGAAUGGGGAAACCCACGUGCAUAAGCACGUAUCCUUACCUGAAUACAUAGGGUAAGGAGGCGAACCGGGGGAACUGAAACAUCUAAGUACCCCGAGGAAAAGAAAUCAACCGAGAUUCCGAAAGUAGCGGCGAGCGAAAUUGGACUAGCCCUUAAGCUUUACACGCGUUAGACGAACGGUCUGGAAAGUCCGACGAUACAGGGUGAUAGUCCCGUAGUUGACGACGUGUGUUCAGUGAAAUCGAGUAGGGCGGGACACGUGAUAUCCUGUCUGAAUAUGGGGGGACCAUCCUCCAAGGCUAAAUACUACUGACUGACCGAUAGUGAACCAGUACCGUGAGGGAAAGGCGAAAAGAACCCCUGUGAGGGGAGUGAAAUAGAACCUGAAACCGUGUACGUACAAGCAGUAGGAGCAGGCUUUGUCCUGUGACUGCGUACCUUUUGUAUAAUGGGUCAGCGACUUAUAUUCAGUGGCAAGGUUAACCAUCUAGGGGAGCCGUAGGGAAACCGAGUCUUAACUGGGCGUUCAGUCUCUGGAUAUAGACCCGAAACCAGGUGAUCUAGCCAUGGGCAGGUUGAAGGUUGAGUAACAUCAACUGGAGGACCGAACCGACUAAUGUUGAAAAAUUAGCGGAUGACUUGUGGCUAGGGGUGAAAGGCCAAUCAAACCUGGAGAUAGCUGGUUCUCCCCGAAAGCUAUUUAGGUAGCGCCUCGGACGAAUACUACUGGGGGUAGAGCACUGUUAAGGCUAGGGGGUCAUCCCGACUUACCAACCCUUUGCAAACUCCGAAUACCAGUAAGUACUAUCCGGGAGACACACGGCGGGUGCUAACGUCCGUCGUGGAGAGGGAAACAACCCAGACCGCCAGCUAAGGUCCCAAAUUACUACUAAGUGGGAAACGAUGUGGGAAGGCUCAGACAGCCAGGAUGUUGGCUUAGAAGCAGCCAUCAUUUAAAGAAAGCGUAAUAGCUCACUGGUCGAGUCGGCCUGCGCGGAAGAUGUAACGGGGCUAAGUAGUAAACCGAAGCUGCGGCAAUAUACUUUUGUAUAUUGGGUAGGGGAGCGUUCUGUAAGCGGUUGAAGGUGUGUGGUAACGCAUGCUGGACGUAUCAGAAGUGCGAAUGCUGACAUGAGUAACGAUAAAGGGGGUGAAAAACCUCCUCGCCGGAAGACCAAGGGUUCCUGUCCAACGUUAAUCGGGGCAGGGUAAGUCGACCCCUAAGGCGAGGCCGAAAGGCGUAGUCGAUGGGAAACGGGUUAAUAUUCCCGUACUUCUUACAAUUGCGAUGGGGGGACGGAGAAGGCUAGGUGGCCUGGCGACGGUUGUCCAGGUUCAAGUGCGUAGGCUUAAGAGUUAGGUAAAUCCGGCUCUUUUUAAGGCUGAGACACGACGUCGAGCACCUACGGGUGUGAAGUCAUUGAUGCCAUGCUUCCAGGAAAAGCCUCUAAGCUUCAGAUUGUAAGGAAUCGUACCCCAAACCGACACAGGUGGUCGGGUAGAGAAUACCAAGGCGCUUGAGAGAACUCGGGUGAAGGAACUAGGCAAAAUGGUACCGUAACUUCGGGAGAAGGUACGCUCUCGACGGUGAAGUCCCUUGCGGAUGGAGCUAUUGAGAGUCGCAGAUACCAGGUGGCUGCAACUGUUUAUUAAAAACACAGCACUGUGCAAAAUCGUAAGAUGACGUAUACGGUGUGACGCCUGCCCGGUGCCGGAAGGUUAAUUGAUGGGGUUAGACUUCGGUCGAAGCUCUUGAUCGAAGCCCCGGUAAACGGCGGCCGUAACUAUAACGGUCCUAAGGUAGCGAAAUUCCUUGUCGGGUAAGUUCCGACCUGCACGAAUGGCGUAAUGAUGGCCACGCUGUCUCCACCCGAGACUCAGUGAAAUUGAAAUCGCUGUGAAGAUGCAGUGUACCCGCGGCUAGACGGAAAGACCCCGUGAACCUUUACUACAGCUUGGCACUGAACAUUGACCCUACAUGUGUAGGAUAGGUGGGAGGCUUUGAAGCACGUACGCCAGUAUGUGUGGAGCCGUCCUUUGAAAUACCACCCUUGUAGUGUUGAUGUUCUAACGUCGACCCCUAAUCGGGGGUUGCGGACAGUGCCUGGUGGGUAGUUUGACUGGGGCGGUCUCCUCCCAAAGAGUAACGGAGGAGCACGAAGGUGGGGCUAAUCACGGUUGGACAUCGUGAGGUUAGUGCAAUGGCAUAAGCCCGCUUGACUGCGAGAAUGACAAUUCGAGCAGGUGCGAAAGCAGGUCAUAGUGAUCCGGUGGUUCUGAAUGGAAGGGGCCAUCGCUCAACGGAUAAAAGGUACUCCGGGGAUAACAGGCUUGAUACCGCCCAAGAGUUCAUUAUCGACGGCGGUGUUUGGCACCUCGAUGUCGGCUCAUCACAUCCUGGGGCUGAAGUCGGUCCCAAGGGUAUGGCUGUUCGCCAUUUAAAGUGGUACGCGAGCUGGGGUUUAGAACGUCGCUGAGACAGUUUCGGUCCCUAUCUGCCGUGGGCUGUUGGAAGAUUGAAGGGGGCUGCUCCUAGUACGAGAGGACCGGACGUGGACGAACCUCUGCGUGUUCGCGGUUGUGUCGCCAGACGCAUUGCCCGGUAGCUAAGUUCGCGAACGAUAACCGCCUGAAAGCAUCUAAGCGGGAACGCGAGCCCUGGAUGAAGUCCUUCCCUGAUACUUUAAGUAUCCUAAAGGGUGUCGGAGACGUACGACGCCUUGCACUAGCGGUCAGGUGCUGUAAGUGGCUGUGAGGGCAUUUGCCAGCUAACUGCAUUACAUAAAUUG
rnacentral:rRNA from 1 species